AGUGAACGUUGGCGGCGUGGAUUAGGCAUGCAAGUCGAGCGAUCGUAGCAAUACGGGAGCGGCAAACGGGGGUAGGAAUACAUCGGAACGUACCUUUUGGUUGAGAAUAGCGUUGGGAAACUGACGGUAAUACUCAAUAAAGUCGAGAGACCAAAGGUUUACUGCCGGAAGAGCGGCCGAUGCGAUAUUAGGUAGUUGGUGGGGUAAUGGCCUACCAAGCCUGAGAUGUCUAGGGGGUGUGAGAGCAUGGCCCCACACUGGGACUGAGAUACUGCCCAGACACCUACGGGUGGCUGCAGUCGAGGAUCUUCGUCAAUGGGCGAAAAGCCUGAACGAGCGACGCCGCGUGCGGGAUGAAGGCCCUUGGGUUGUAAACCGCUGUCAGGGGGGAUGAAACCGUAAGGGUUGACAGAGCCCCAGAGGAAGCACGGGCUAAGUUCGUGCCAGCAGCCGC
rnacentral:rRNA from 1 species